rnacentral:lncRNA from 1 species
GUUGGAUCCACUCCCAAGUGAUGAGUCAUCACCUCCGGAUCUCUGUCAAGCAUAUCUAUCACUGUCUAAGCGAAUAGGUCUGCAUUUUUCUGUAAAAGAGCAGUUAGCCGAGUUUUGGUUACCUAAUCUAUAGAUGAACCAAUUUUCACAAUUUGAUGAAGAUUUUCUUUCCUCAAAGGGACCUCCACUAGAUCCUCGAAUGGCCGAGCAUGCUCCCCAGCC